rnacentral:rRNA from 1 species
UACGGAGGGUGCAAGCGUUGCUCGGAAUUAUUGGGCGUAAAGCGCACGCAGGCGGCAGGAUAAGUCAGUUGUGAAACUCCCGGGCUUAACUUGGGAACUGCAGCUGAUACUGUUCUACUUGAGUACGGAAGAGGGGAGCGGAAUUCCCAGUGUAGAGGUGAAAUUCGUAGAUAUCUGGAGGAACACCGGUGGCGAAGGCGGCGUUCUGGACUGCAACUGACACUGAGAAACGAAAGCCAGGGUAGCAAACGGG